rnacentral:rRNA from 1 species
AUUGAACGCUGGCGGCAUGCCUUACACAUGCAAGUCGAACGGCAGCACGGGAGCAAUCCUGGUGGCGAGUGGCGAACGGGUGAGUAAUGUAUCGGAACGUACCUUUCAGUGGGGGAUAACGUAGCGAAAGUUACGCUAAUACCGCAUAUUCUGUGAGCAGGAAAGCAGGGGAUCGCAAGACCUUGCGCUGAUUGAGCGGCCGAUAUCAGAUUAGCUAGUUGGUGAGGUAAAGGCUCACCAAGGCGACGAUCUGUAGCGGGUCUGAGAGGAUGAUCCGCCACACUGGAACUGAGACACGAUCCAGACUCCUACGGGAGGCAGCAGUGGGGAAUUUUGGACAAUGGGCGCAAGCCUGAUCCAGCCAUGCCGCGUGAGUGAAGAAGGCCUCGGUU